rnacentral:rRNA from 1 species
AGUUGUUGCUGGUCUCCGUAUGGGGGCAUGUGCACGCUCUGUUUACACAUCCACUCACACCUGUGCACGCUCUGUAGUUCUAUGGCCUGGGUGGGCUCUGUCCUCCUGCUGUGGUUCUAUGUCUUUACACACACACUACAACAAAGUCUCAUGGAAUGUAUGUCGCGUUUAACGCAAUGGAAUACAACUUUCAGCAACGGAUCUCUUGGCUCUCGCAUCGAUGAAGAACGCAGCGAAAUGCGAUAAGUAAUGUGAAUUGCAGAAUUCAGUGAAUCAUCGAAUCUUUGAACGCACCUUGCGCCCUUUGGCUAUUCCGAAGGGCAUGCCUGUUUGAGUAUCAUGAACACCUCAACUCUCAUGGCUUGCCAUGAUGUGCUUGGACUUUGGGGGUCUUGUUGGCCUGUGAGCCAGCUCCUCUUAAAUGAAUUAGCUUGCCGGUGUUUGGUGGCGUCACAGGUGUGAUAACUAUCUACGCUUGUGGUUUCCCACCAGGGUAACCUUCAGCAAUGAAGGUUCACCGGAGCUUAUAAAUGUCUCUCCUCAGUGAGGACAGAUUUUGACCAUUUGAUCUCAAAUCAGGUAGGACUACCCGCUGAACUUAAGCAUAUCAAUAAGCGGAGGAAAAGAAACUAACAAGGAUUCCCCUAGUAACUGCGAGUGAAGCGGGAAGAGCUCAAAUUUAAAAUCUGGCGUGCCUCCGGCCGUCCGAGUUGUAGUCUGGARAAGCGUUUUCCGUGCUGGACCGUGUACAA